GCAGUGAUGAUUGAAUACACAGCUUUAAGCCAGUUCUGCUUCAGAAAAUUCUUGAUUGAUAGAGCUGUUAUUUACUCUGAGC
rnacentral:snoRNA from 1 species